UAUUAGAAGAAUGUGUAAGAAACAUACGGAGAAGUCUUCCUUGUUAAAGAUCAGCAACGGCAGAUAAACAAUGCAUGAUGCAAUCUGCUCACUAAAAAGAUUACACCAAUACAUCCCAUGACAUGUAUUUCUACCUAUCACCUAUGUAACCUUUGUCAUGCUCUUCAGAGAGUCAUCAACAGGAAAAGGAAUUACCGGUAAGUUGACAGGACUUUCCACACUGUUUCUGGUAGCAGCUUAUGAUUGAAUUGAUGGUAGAAGACAUGGCCCACUUAAUCAAAGGUAAAUCUCAUGGAAU